UCUUUGCUGGUGGUGGUGCUGUGUGGAGGGAUUGUUCUCUGCUCACAGGUAGACUGCUUCUCAUCCUUGGCUGCUGAGAAUUUCCCAUUUGGAUCUGACCCUUUCUGAAACAUUUAUUUCACACCAAGUUUUCUGACCAUGCCUUUGACCUUCGGCAAAAGAGAAAAAUGUAAAGACUGACUUAGUGUGAAAGCCCACCAGACAACAUGUUCUCUGCAAUGUUCUUGCCCUCACUGUAAAGAGUAGCCCCAGUUCUGUCAUAAGCAUCAGUGCUGGCCUUGGGGUUGUUAUUGGAGCUACCACUGCUGAAGUGCUUUAAAUAGAUCCUAAGCAAACCUCUCUGUUUGUUUUUCUUGACGUGGUACUGACUGGUGCUUUCCAAGAAACAAGAAAAAAAGCUGAAUUCACAGUGGUGACUUUGAUUCCAUCUGGCAAAAGUAAACUGAUCUCCAAAACAAGAAAGGCAUUGCCAUGAAGAUGAAAAGUAAAUGAGUUGCUGCAAGAAGCCGCCUUUCCUUCCUGACUCACUGUCCAUAAAAUCUUGCUGGUGCUUGGUUAGCAGGCCCCUCCACUUUAGGUUUUUCUACAGGCCUCUGUUACAAGCAUACUAGAGAGCUUUCCAGUUACAGGGAUAAAUUGACAAAGGCUGAGCACAAACUCAGCUGCCAUCGCUCCAGAAGCCUCACUGCUGAAUCAGCAAAUUUCUGCUCCCAGAAUACUGGAUGCAGCCAGCGUGCCAUUAUGAUGCAUGCCAAGAGACCUGCGUGCUGCUCCUUCCAUUAGUCCCUUAUGGUUGCCACCCUCUGGACCUGCAGCUUCUUUUCCUUCUGGGCCUCCUUUGCUUCUCACACCUUUAAUUUCCGCAGCUGAGUAAACCUCCAGAGCAAGAUAUCUGGGAGGAAGGUGUGGGGCUGCCUCUCCACUGCCUGUGCUGAGGCAUCUGCGCUUGCUGUAUGUGCUCUGCAGCUCCACUGCCCUGCUGUCUGCCACCCCCUGGCCCUGUGGGACUCCCCUCUCUGUCCCUGUGGGGACAACCACAGGGUUGACACAGACCACAGACCUAAAUCAUCCUCCACCCUCCUGGAUUUUGGCCAUGUUUAAGAUCCAUCAGUUAAAAAGAUGCCUGAGAAGUGGCACCUGUUUGCUUUAAUGUUGCUUGAAAAGUGUGAAACCACUUCAGGCUUCUCACAGAAAAAAGGUAAUGUAGAGUAAAGUAUUAUGGUAUGGUUAGUAUCACUAAUCCCAAACUUAUUGCCCUAUAGUAGUUAUAAAGUUUGAGUGGUUUUUUUUUUCUGAGCUGAGGAAAUGGAGGAGUAAGAAAUAUAUUAAAAAAAAAUAAUAAUAAAAAGGAACUUUCUAUAAAAACAGAGGGAAAAGAAAAAAGAUGGCACCAUUUUAUUCCACCCAGAAGGUUUCAGAAGACAGCAACUGGCUGAAUUUAUUUCCAAGUGCCAGCUGAGAAAUGUCAGCCAGCUCUCCUGUCUCCUGAAGGAUGCUGUGCUUCAUAAAGCUAUGUGUGAGCAGAACCCACGUGCCUGUUCACCUGCC
ensembl:lncRNA